rnacentral:rRNA from 1 species
AUUGAACGCUGGCGGCAUGCCUUACACAUGCAAGUCGAACGGCAGCGCGGACUUCGGUCUGGCGGCGAGUGGCGAACGGGUGAGUAAUACAUCGGAACGUACCCUGUUGUGGGGGAUAACUAGUCGAAAGAUUAGCUAAUACCGCAUACGACCUGAGGGUGAAAGUGGGGGACCGCAAGGCCUCACGCAGCAGGAGCGGCCGAUGUCUGAUUAGCUAGUUGGUGGGGUAAAGGCCCACCAAGGCGACGAUCAGUAGCUGGUCUGAGAGGACGAGCAGCCACACGGGGACUGGCAAACGGCCCAGACUCCUACGGGAGGCAGCAGUGGGGAAUUUUGGACAAUGGGGGCAACCCUGAUCCAGCAAUGCCGCGUGUGUGAAGAAGGCCUUCGGGUUGUAAAGCACUUUUGUCCGGAAAGAAAUCGCGCUGGUUAAUACCUGGCGUGGAUGACGGUACCGGAAGAAUAAGCACCGGCUAACUACGUGCCAGCAGCCGCCGUAA